rnacentral:lncRNA from 1 species
GAAAGUAUAGUCACCACUUCAGAGACCAGGACUCAUUCAUCAAGAAAACACCUUAUUUAUGCAACAGAUCAUCAUAGUCAUGUAUGUCAUUUAACCACUACAGAUUGUUCAUACUUGAAAUUUUCAGGAUACACAGCCAUACUUAGAUCUCCCUCUACAUCACCACUAGGACUUGCAUUAAGUUGAACGCCAGUAACUAAAAGCCAAGAUUUGCAUCAAUCCAAACUUACAGAGCUAGUACUACUUGCUGGUCUUCUCGGCGACAUGCCCAGCACCUGCAGCCGCGGUAUCCUGGUCAGCACCAGGACGCACUCCUGCUGCCGUGCCAUCUUGCCCAGCACCUGCCGCCGCGCCGUCCUGGUUAGCCACAACACCGGCUUCACCAUCACCCACUGCAUCCUCAUCCGGGUCGACAAUCUUGGCUCCGACACCGAACCGACACCGCCGACUGACGUACGAGGGCGAGGGCGACCACGGUCGGAACCUGCCUGGACGCGCACGGACGGGGCCCCCAGAACCAGAUCCGCUGCGGUCGCGUGCUGCGCUGCCGGCCGUCGCGACGGCCUUGACUAGCUUGCCAUCGCCGGAUUUCGCUCCUCCGCCCUCUGCUCCGCCUGCCAUGGCUCCAGUGCGAUGGACGCCACCUCGCCGGCUGUUUAUAUGGACGGGAUGCCAUCGAUUUGGGGUGAGAGGGGGAGGCCCUGGAUUGGAGGUUGGACCG